rnacentral:lncRNA from 1 species
AUGUCCAGCACUGUGUCCCCAAAAGUCCCCUCCGCGAGCUCCUCCGCGGACCAGAGGACCGUCGUCGUGGGGGCAUUUUGUUGUCUGGUGUUUUUCUUCAUGAUCGUGGUGCUGCUGUUGAUCCUGUACCGGAAGGUUCCUCUCUGCUGCAAAAUGAGGGCUCUUCAGGAAUCUCGUACUGACAUGGAAUCUCCUCCUCAGUACUACAACAGCAGACAGACUCUUGUAGCUUCUUCUGAUGUGGAGCAAACACAUGACAGCGGUCUUGAUAACGUGAAUGCACGGUCGGGCUCGUUGUUCCUGAUCGGUGUGCCGAGCAGCUACUACCUUUCCCCGCUGGAGCCUCCUCUUCCUCGUCUGCCCUCGUACGAGAGCGUCCGCAAGAAAGACCGCCAGCGGCAGAUCCACAUGAUGAUAGCCGACCGCUUCGGCCUGAGCGGAUCAGUCGAGACAGAGCCGCCUCCCACAUAUGAGGAGAGCAUUCGUGAGUCCGUCCAGGGCAUUGAUGUCCCGUUUGACAUCCUGGCACCCGCGGAGGAGCUUACAGUCCCAGACACAGAUUUACCUGCAUAUGAAGAUCUACCUCAAAUCACAGACUCACAGGACCCCAGUCACACUGUUAAUUAAAGCACAAGAACACGAUCGGCAGCUGUUGAGCUGUCACUAGCCUGACGAGCAGCCGCUCUGCUUGCAAAAGACACCGAAAUAGGGACGGACUUGACCUAUGCAAUAACUUGCACAAGCACAAGACGAGAGGAGGAGGAUGUUGCAUCACUACUGGAAAAAGGGAAGAGAAGAACAAGAAUAUGCAAGAGUUUAAGUUCUGUCGCUGUUAAAAAAUGACAUGAAACUUCUACUUUAUAGAACUAUAAGGAUUGUAGAUAUUUCCAAGCCUCAACAUUACAUCACGUCCCAUGAUAUUAUUACAUUUAUACAUAAGUGGGGAAUGUUGAUUUCAUUUUGAUUAAAAAAAAUGUUGUUGUUUUUUCUUUUUGGGGGGGGAAUAACAUCCAUUUAUGAAAAAUAACACUAGUGACAUCUAUUAUAACCAUAAAUAAAGUCUAUCUUGAUUUCAUGUUGAAGUUCAUCUAAAACCAAAGUAGCAGCUGGUGUACUGUACUGACCUAAAGCACACAAAUAAUGAAGAUUUGAAGCCAUGUUUUUGUACAUUACGGGGAAAUUGUAUCACUAUUUUAGGCAGACGAGUUUUAAUUCAAUCCUGUUUUUAAACAAACUGCUCAUUUUUUUUUGUGUACAUGUUCCUUGUCGGACCAAAUGAUACUUUGCUGCGAUUCUAUUUGUUGAAUCUCUCUUUUUUUUAAAUAACCUUUUAUGAAUGCGCUCGAUUGUAUCACUGUGAAUAAAGAUGUUAAAUGUACAGUUUGCAGAAGUAAUACUAGACUUGGACUUGUUUCUUCUGAGAUUGGGUCACACUGAAUCAUCGGAUUUUCCUCGGUUUCUUCCCUUUACUGUCAAUACUCUACUCAGAGCAUAUGAUUUCAGAUACGUGUGCAUUCAAAUUCAAAUGGCUUGAAAGCAGUUUGAUGUGUAACAAGUUUGAGGUCACAGGUGUCCUCAUUUCCCUCUGAACACGCAUUUGCAUCUUUCAAAAACUACAUGAGAUAUAUUUUCCCUAGGGCACAAGAAUAAACCAGAUUUGAGAGGUUGUGCUGCGCUCUAAUAUAGUCACGGCUAAAUGAAACUGCAAUAAUAUCUUACCUGUUACUAUUUUAUAUAUUUAGCAUGUUAGACUUUAUUGACCAUGAAUCAACAGGAGAUCCACUCAAUGAUUAACCCACAUGGGAUUCACAUGUCUAACAAAACUGAGUGUUGAUUAAAAGAUCACUAAAAGAUGCAUUCAGUUGAUCAAAGUAAAUACAGAUGCAUAUUGUAACAAUUUUCUAUAAAAAAAAAAAUAAAAAAAAAAAAAAUAUAUAUAUAUAUAUAUAUAUAUAUAUAUAUAUAUAUAUAUAUAUAUAUAUAUAUAUAUAUAUAUAUAUAUAUAUUGAACUCUAUUUAUCAAAAAAAUACUUAAUGCAUCAUGUUUUCCAUAAAAAUAUAAAA